UAGGGAAUCUUCCGCAAUGGGCGAAAGCCUGACGGAGCAACGCCGCGUGAGUGAUGAAGGCCUUCGGAUCGUAAAACUCUGUUAUUAGGGAAGAAUAAAUGUGUAAGUAACUAUGCACGUCUUGACGGUACCUAAUCAGAAAGCCACGGCUAACUACGUGCCAGCAGCCGCGGUAAUACGUAGGUGGCAAGCGUUAUCCGGAAUUAUUGGGCGUAAAGCGCGCGUAGGCGGUUUUUUAAGUCUGAUGUGAAAGCCCACGGCUCAACCGUGGAGGGUCAUUGGAAACUGGAAAGCUUGAGUGCAGAAGAGGAAAGUGGAAUUCCAUGUGUAGCGGUGAAAUGCGCAGAGAUAUGGAGGAACACCAGUGGCGAAGGCGACUUUCUGGUCUGUAACUGACGCUGAUGUGCGAAAGCGUGGGGAUCAAACAGG
rnacentral:rRNA from 1 species